GGACAGUCUCUCGUGAGUUCCUGGGGAUUCAUGUUAUCCCGAGACUUGAGUGAGAGUCUCCCCACUCCAAAGGUCUUUUAUUUGGGGGCUUGUCAGUGAUUGGUGAACACCCUCAUCUCCAAAGACCCUCUUGGAGUCACUUUCAUCUCGGGAGGAGACAGAGGGAGUGAUCAGCAGACGUGCUAGGAGAUCACCAACUGCUGCCCUGGGAGAUGUCCUGAGAGUCCCGCUAUCCUACUGCCCUGGAGACUGAUGACUCCUCGCCUACCCAUCACUGCACUGAUAUUUUGGCAGAAGAAGCUGGUACCCAAAAUGAUCUGAAGGAUCAGCCUUCGCCUGGGAGUCUGAGUGGGUAUACGGAUGACAGAAGUUUCAUGGUUGAAGGGAAGCAGAAGGUGGAGGCAGCAGUGGUGGACAGGAAGCAAGUAAUCUGGGCCAGUAGCCUCCCUGAAGGGACAUCGGCCCAGAAAGCCAAACUUGUGGCUUUGAUACAAGCCCUACCGAUGGCAGAGGGGAAGUCUAUCAACAUCUACACUGACAGCAGAUACUUUUUCAGGCUGAGUAGAAGCUUUUCCUACCAGGACUGAGACAGCCAAUAUGGUGGCUAAGAAGAUCAUAAAAGAAAUCUUCCUGAGGUUUGGGAUACCCAAGGUAAUCAGGUCUUAUAAUGGACCUGCCUUUGUUGCCCAGGUAAGUCAGGGACUGGCCACCCUACUGGGGAUCAAUUGGAAAUUACAAUGUGCUUACCAAUCCCAGAGCUCAGGUCAGGUAGAAAGGAUGAAUAAAACCCUAAAAGAGACCCUGACAAAAUUGGCCCUAGAGAUUGGUGGGAAUGACUGGACAGCCCUCCUUCCCUUUGCCCAGUUCCGGGUUUGGAAGACCCCAGGGCGAUUUAAACUCACCCCUUAUGAGAUCCUAUGUGGGGGACCACAAUCGUUCACUGAGUCGGGUGGAGUGUAUAAUCCUGAUGUUAUUCUUUCUAGACCUUUAUUUGCCCACCUAAAGGCCCUUGAAGUGGUAAGAUGCCAGAUCUGGGGACAAUUGAAAGAAGUAUGCAUCUCUGCCAGGAUCCACGCCUCCCACGUGAACUACUCAGGUUCAAACUCUCUACCCCUGCAUGGGAAAUGAGUUUCAGCCACAGUGCACUGGUUCCUGUCCUUGCAGCAAGGAUGGUCUCUCGUGGGUUCCUGGAGGGUCGUUAUCAUGAGACUUGAGUGAAAAGUCUCCCUGCUCAGGAGGUCUUUCAGGUAGACAGGCUGAGUUAUGUGGGGAUCCUGGACAUGGACCACUUUCCAACUCUCUUUCCAUUGCAUUGCUGCAUACAACACUGACGGCAAAUGGUAAGGUUCCUUCUUCCAGGUUAGCUUUGGCUGACAUUCACCUCUGGCAGUUCCUUAGGGCUGAGGACUGAGAUUUCAUUUCUCAUCUCUGAGUGUUGUCCUUUGGGCUACUCUGCCCUGGUCUCCAACCCCUGUACCUUAGAGUGGCCCAAACCUCUCUCUGUCUCAAGGACUCCUGCAAAUAAGUUAGCCACUGGGUCUCAUUUAUUUUCUCUCUUUUAACCUCAGCUAUGGGAAAUAACUUAAGUACCCCUUAGAUAAAAACCUAAAGUAGUCACCUAAUGGCAGACCUCAACAUGAGAGCUUUCUAAUUUCUGUUAGCAAACAGGUAGAUGGGAAAUUUUCUAUAUAUGAAGCCAUGCUAAACUCUGCCCCACCGGCAUCUCCUGCACGUCCACUCUUCCCUCCAUCGGACCACCUCCCACCAUGGCUAAGCCUGUUUGAGAUGGAAUCUGUCUACCUGUCCUGGCAAUGCUGAAGAAUUUUCCUAUUUAUUUCAUAUAUGAAAGAAUAUGUGAAUGAUGUGUGGCCACACAAAAGUGAUUCUGUUCUAAAUGUAUGUUUUAUACAUCCUAUAUGUCUCUCUUGUUAUUUCUAUAUAUUUAAAAUUCCCGCAGUUUCUCCGUGCUUUGCUCUACAUGAUGGCCACCAUUUUGACUAGUGGCAAGGACAGCAGACCAAAUUACCUUAGCUCCAUCUUUGCUAUGGGCAAUCACAUGACCACCACUAUCUUAACUAAUGUCAGGUCAGAUGACCUAACUAUGGUCAUGGCUGCCGGCCAGCUCUCCAGGCUCACUGGGACCCCAGCCAACUGCCUGCUCUGCCUGUAGCUGAAUCUAUUCUCUACCACCUGCUAAAAAACCUGCAACUUUCUUUUUGUCUUUCUCCCUUUAAAUGCCCCGUUUGCUUUAACAAAGAGUUAGAUAAAAAAGGCAACAUGUCUCUCUGUUACGAGAAGUCUUUUAGUAAUUAAACAUUUAAAUGCCAGUGUGAUGCCCUGUCACCAAGGUACUCUGUCCUCUUAUGAGACAAGCUCUGCUCACUCCCAGUCUCUCUCUGCUCACUGAGGCAAGCCCACCUGCCCCCACCUCUCUCUUUCUCUCUUUCUCCCUGUUGCUCUUCUGAAGAGGCAACCUUCUGCCUCUCCCCCUUUCCCUUUCUCUCUCUCCCUUCUUUCUCCAUCUCUCUAUUUCUCUCUCUUUCUCCUAUACCUCCCCUACCCUUAUACCCUCCCAAUACCCACUAAAUAAACUCUCCAUACACAAGCUCUCUCUUCAUGGUAUAUCUGUCUGCCCCUUACCGGCCUAUGGUCCCCCAUACCAGCAGGGUCACUUGCACCAUAAAUCCUUACAAUUAUAGUUAAGAAACUACUGAAUGAAUCUCAGAAGAGACUUUGGAUUUUUAAACUUUGUUGAGACUGUGAUAGACUAUGGGGACUUUAAAUUUAGGCUGGAAGCCUUUUGCAUUAUGAUAUGGCUAUACACCUAUAGAGACCAAGGAGAGGAAUGUCUACCACAUGGUAGUUUGAAUGAAAAUAUCCACUUGGCUCAUAGGGAAUGGCACUAUUAGGAGGUGUGGUCUUGCGGAAGGAGGUGUAGCCUUGUUGGAGAGAGUGUGCCACUGAGGGUGGGUUUUGAGGUUUUAGAAGCUCAAGUUAGGCCUACUGUCUCACUGUAUUUUCCUGCUGCCUGAGGUUCCAGAUGCAGAACUUUACCUCUCUACUACCAUGUCUGCCUGCAUGCCACCAUGAUUUCUGCCAUGGCGAUAAUAAACUAAACCUCUGACCUGUAAGCUAGCCCCAAUUAAAUGCUUUGCCUUUAUAAGAGUUUCCAUGGUCAUGGUGACUCUGCACAGCAACAGAAUCCCUAACUAAGACAGGUGUCUUCUUUAUACUAUUUCCCCCUCCCCAUCCUACCCACUGAUGGCUUCUACUUUCUUCUCACUGUCUCACUCUCUCAAUUGUUCUCAGAUCUGAAGUAUUCUAAGCAAAAUUUGAAUUAAAAAUGAAGCUUGAUCUAUGUCUAGAGUUACUAUUAAUGUUGACUUACUUUAUGUGUUACAGUUUGAAAGCUGGAAUACAUCAGUCAAUUUAUUGGGGGCAGUCUGGGGAUGGGGUCUAUACUGGGUUAUAACUGACCUAAUCACAUCAUCACAAUUCCAAGUUCACCCCAGUUCCUCCCCCUCCUUACUCUGCCCAUUUCUGUAUACUCCCUAGUCUCCUCUGCUUCCUACUUUACAUGACCCUUGUAUUUAGUGGUGAUUUUCUUAAACUCUAUUAAUAAAUCUCAAAAUUAUCAAGCAAAAUUGGCAUUGCUAAAUAAAUUUUAAUUACGUUAUUUAGAGUCACAUGUGGCUUUAAUUUUUAUGUUAAAGUUUGACAGCUAGUGUGUAUAGGCUGUGUGAUUGGUGGGUUUCUCAUUCACCCCAUCUCCUUGCACCCACUCACUCACUCUCUUCUCCCAUGCCCCACCCCUAUUGCCUACACUCACUUAGCCCUCACUGCCUACACUCCCUGCUACCCUUCCCUUUCAACUUGUUGCUAAACCUCCAAAAAUAUUUAUAUUAAAUACAAAUUUUUUAUAUAACUUUAUACAAAAACCUUGGAUGUGUAUGUGUGAAAUGCCUUUGUGUGUGAGUCUGGGCACAUAUAUUCCGGGGAUCUGAACUUAUGUCUUCAAGCUUGCAGAGUAAAGUCUGUAUCCUCUGCACUACCUCUCCAGUCCCUGUUUAUUUUUUGCCAUUGUAAUAUAUUAGCUAUCUUGGAGUAUCCUGAGUGUUUUACUGUGUAUGGUUGAUAGACCCUUUAUACAUUAACCUAUUCCAAAUUCACUCUUGUCUCCCAGACCCUAUCUUCUUGUGAUGCCCCCACUACUUGUCUCUCCAAUGAAAACAAGAUCAGCAAUUUUAUGUAGUAAUUAUAUUAAAAGCUGUUGUUUCCCCACAGUGAAGCACUGGGCUGAGCUUCUGGACUUUAGUUGAAGAGAGGGAGGAGGGAUCAUAUGAACAGGCUGUCAAGAACAUGAUGACAGCUGACCUGAGCUAGUGAGGAGAACAUGGACUAUGGACUGCCAGCUGCACGGAACAGAACUAAAUCCUCUGAAUAUGGGUGAUGGUUAUGUGGCUUGAUCUAUGGGGAGGGGGUGCUGGUAGUAGCACCAGGACCUAUCCCAGGUGCAUGUGCUGGCUUUUGGAGCCCAUUCCCUAUGGUGGGAUACUAUGCUCAACCCUGAUACGGGGAGAGUGGCUUGGCCACUCCCAAGGAAGGCCUUACCCUGACUGAGGAGUGGAUGGGGGAUGGGAAAGGAAAGAGAGAUGGGAGAGGGGAGGGGAGGGAGGAGGAAAUGGAGCUGGUAUGUAAAAUGAAAAGUAUUUUUUAAUAAAAAAAGGGGGAAAGCUGUUCGUUGCUAGGUUUAUUAUUCCAUAUGUUAAUAUUUUGCAGUUGGAAUAUGUUAAUUUAUUUUCUGGGGCAUUCUGGGUACAUGAUUGGUACUGCACUGUGUGUGACUGAUAUCUUCUUUAUAUAUCACUCACCUCUCAGACUCAUCCCUUGGUACAUAUCCCAUCCCUCUGCCCUUUAUGCCCAUCUACCCUCCCCAUCACAUUCUCCACUGUCCUACUUUCUUUUACUCCUAUUGAUAAAGCAGAAGCAUUAAAAAAAAUGAUACUAAAAUAAACUUAUUAUUUCAUUAAAGAUACUAUUAUUAACGUAUUUAUUAUUGUAUGUUGCUUUUUGGUGUAGUAGGUUGAUUGUCAUUGGUCCUUAGUUGUGUGAUUAACAUAUUUGUUGUGCAUCCCCACCUUCUCUCUUCCCACUGCCCAUCUUUCCAAUUCUCUUUUUCCUACCCCUACACUGCUUCCUCUCUUUCACUCCUCCACUUAGGAUAAUUUUAAAAUAUCUUAAUUAAUAUUAAAUAUGUAUAAUCAAUGAAGUCAUUAUUGAUGACUUUAUUAUUAAUAUGUUAAUAGCCUACAACUGCAGUAUACUUAUUGUCUUGGAGGCUGUGAGUAUACAAUUGAUCUGGACUGUGAUUGAUGUAUUCUUUAUAUACCCUCACAUCCCAAUGUCACAUCCAGUCCCACCUUUCAUUUUCAAUCCCAUCUCUUACUCUCUCCACUCUCUUCUUCUUCCCUUCUCCCUACCCUCCCUUCUCCCCAUUAUACUAUCCUCUUUACUCUAAUAAAUAAGCUUCAACUAUUCCAAUAUUGAUACUAAAGAUAAGAUUUAUUAUGUCACAGGAGAAACGAAUUUCUUUUCUAUUCAUGGUAUUGUUUCCUACAUGAUAAUGUAAAAUCAGGUAAAAACAUCCUUGGGUAUUCUGGGUAUAUCUUGACCCUGGGUUUGUGUGAUUGACAUUUUUUUAUACAUAAUAAUCCUCUCCUCAAUUCACCCCAUUCUUAAUCUUCUCUCUUUACUUCAUUAUUCUCCCACACUCUCUUCAGUGUCCUUCCAUCUCCACUCUAAUUAAUUUCAAGUAUUCUAUUUAAUAAUGUUUUAUGAUUAUGAAAGUCACUAUUAAUUGUUGGCCUUAUCAUAUCUGCUAAUAUUUUGCAGCUGGAAUUCAACUGAUCCCUUGGGUGUUCUAGGCAUAAAAUUGAUAAUGUUAUGUGAUUGAUAUUCUUUAUGCACCAUCCCCAUUUCAAAGCCACACCCAACCCCAACCUCUCUUCUUGCCCUCAGUCCCCACAUUCAGCCUGUUUUCUGCCCCCAAAUGUUCCCCUACUCUCCCUCCCUCUCCAUUUAUUUUGUAUGAGGAGGGAGGAACACCAUUGUCCCACUUUGAGCUUAUGGAGGUCAAAGGUCAGCUACCAGGUACUGGUCUUCUUCCACCAGGUGGGGUCCAGAGAUCCAAGCCAGGUUGUCCGACUUGGCAGCAAGCAACCUUAUCUGUUGAGCCAACUUGCUGGCCCCCAAUUCCACUUAAGUAAAUCCUGUUUCAAGUACUAUUAGUAUUAGGGUUUAUUAUGUCCAUGGACUUGAUUUUAUUUGGUGACUCUAUUACCACAGAUACUCAUGUUUUUCAUCUGGAACACGUAAGUUGAUUUCCUUGGAUAUUCUGGGCGGUAUUUCUACAGGGUUGUAUGAGUGGGACUGACAUGCUCCCUACCCACCACCCACCCUACUGGAUUACUAACCCCAUACCUUUACUCUCCCUUCAGUUCUUCCUUCCCCAUCUCAAUUAACAAAUCUCAAGAACGCCAAUCAUAUUGAAUUAGACCAGUGUUACGUCACUGGAAUUAUCAUUAAUUGAUGGGUUUACAUGUUAGUCUUUUGCUACUAGAAUACACUUAUUUCCCGGGGUAUUCUUGGUGUGUUAUUACUAGGCUCUGUGAUUGAUGUAUUCUUCAUAUAAAACCCCAUUCCAAAUUUACUCAAGCACAGCUGGAAUGAACUAGUCGAUAUCUUGGAGUAUUCUUGGUAUAUUUUUAAUGAACUGUGUGACCGAUUGAUAUAUAUGCCAUCCCUAUCCCAAACAUUUUCCCAAACCCACCCUUCCCCACCCUCUUUUCCCAUUUGCCCCCCCAACCCCUUUACUACCUAGUUCCCAAUGGUUAUCACUCCAGACCCAUCCACUGCUCCUCCCUCCAUUCUUGAUGAUGGGUGGGCGCUGAAAUGAUCAGGACACAAUUUGCCUUAACCACUAAGUCUUUAUUAAUUGAAUUUUUAUUGUUACAUCAAUAUAGUAAAGA